UACGUAGGGUGCGAGCGUUAAUCGGAAUUACUGGGCGUAAAGCGUGCGCAGGCGGUUGUGCAAGACAGAUGUGAAAUCCCGAGGCUCAACCUCGGGUCUGCAGUCGAUACGGGCGGACUGGAGUUCGGCAGGGGAGACUGGAAUUCCUGGUGUAGCGGUGAAAUGCGCAGAUAUCAGGAGGAACACCGGUGGCGAAGGCGGGUCUCUGAGCCGAUACUGACGCUGAGGAGCGAAAGCGUGGGGAGCGAACAGG
rnacentral:rRNA from 1 species